GUUGGUGUCCUCGGGACCGCAAUUUGGAUUGGCGGACUUGCCAACCAGCUCAACUACUCUCGAAGCGAUUUGCCUGAGAAGUUGGAUUUUAAGGACUCCGGCUCUGCUUUCGCGGGACCGUUCGUGUUGUAUUUUAGUUUCGGGUUGCUUGAUGCCAUGUUCCAGAGUAUGGUUUUCUGGGUCAUUGGAGCCUUGGCUGAUAACUCUGAAAUUCUAAGCAGGUAAUGUUGGUAUAUGGUCCAGCCCAUGAUCAAUGUUCUAGAUUAUUCUAGUAAGCAAGAGAUGAGGCUGGAGCUUGCUAGACAAUUCUAGCAUGUUAUUAAGUUGAUGGAAGAAGCUAGAGAGUACUAGCUUCCUUGGUUGCAAAUGGAAAGAUCUAGAAGCUACAAGUAUGUGGCUAGUCUAGAUUUUUCUAUACUAGAGGUUUGAAGAAGGAACUAGAAACUAGUAGAAUGCCAAGCCCUCACCUAUAAAUAUGGGUGUGAUGUAACCAAUUGAGAACGAAGAGUGAGUAGCAAAGGAUCAAGUCCAAAGCUAGAGUUCCACUCCAAGAGUGAGAGUGAGAGUGUUCCACUACACAUUGUGUGAGUGAAGUUUAGAGUGAUAGAAAGUGUGUGUUAUACUUUCUUGUAUCCAUCAAGCCUUGUCUUUGGCUUGGUAAGACUACUCUUGUUGUAUUCAUCUUCCUUGUUUGGUGGACGUAGGCAUAAAUUGCCGAACCACAUAAAUUCUUGGCGUCCAUUUUCUACUUUACCUUGUGCAUUCUCUAUCUUGUAGUACCGACAUUCCUAACAAGUGGUAUCAAAGCCCGGUUGGCUCGUACUACGAGAUGGAAGGAAGUGGCACUAUGAUCAAACUCACCAACUCCAAUUGGGUAACAUGGAAGCCAAGGAUGGAGGACAUUCUCUAUUGCAAGGAUUUGCAUGAGCCAAUUGAAGGAGAUGCCGCUAAGCCCGAGAGCAUGUCCGAUGCUGAGUGGAAGAAGAUGAAUCGCAAGGCUAUUGGCACAAUUAGACAAUGGGUGGACGAUAGUGUUUUUCACCAUGUGUCUAAUGAAACCAAUGCUCGCGAGUUUUGGACGAAGCUUGAGUCCUUGUUCGAGAAGAAGACCCCAGCCAAGAAAGCCUUAUUGAUCAAAGAGCUCAUCAAUGUGAAGUACAAGGAUGGUUUAAGUGUAGCAGAACACUUGAACAAUUUCCAGAAUAUCAUCAACCAGUUGGCUACUAUGAAAAAUGACGAUCGAGGACGAGCUACAAGCGCUCUUGUUACUUGGAUCCUUGCCAGACAGUUGGGAGACCUUUGUGGUGAGUAUAAGUAACUCUGCUUCUAAUGGUGUUCUUACUCUUGAUAAUGUUAAAAAUAGCAUGCUCAAUGAAGAAACAAGGAGAAAGACUUCUGGCACAGAUAGCAGCCAAGUAUUUGUCACAGAGAACCGCGGAAGAAGCAAGAGUAGAGGGCCUAGAGGUCAUGGCAGGAGUCCUAGCCGAUCCAAGUCAAAGUUCAGGGGUGCAUGCCACCACUGUGGCAAAGAAGGCCAUAUGAAGAAAAAUUGUCGAGUUUGGAAGAGAGAGCAAAGGGAAGGAAACAAUCAGAAGAAAGAUGAUACUGGCAAUACCACCGCUGUCAUCUGUGGUGAUGUACCAGAAAUAUUUGUCUGUUGGUGAAUGUCUGCAUAUGGGCAACUCUGACAGAGACAUUGAAUGGAUUUUUGAUAAUGGAGCUUCCUUCCAUGCUACGUCCAAACGGGAGUUCUUCAGUACAUACAAAGAAGGUGACUUUGGCAUAGUGAAGAUGGGGAAUGAAAGCUAUUCCAAAAUUCUUGGAAUUGGUGAUAUCUGCUUAAGAACUAAUCUCGGCUGCCAAUUGAUGUUGAAAGAUGUGAGACAUAUUCCUGAUAUACGUCUCAAUCUGAUAUCCAUCGGUACCCUUGAUCGAUAAGGAUAUUAUCACCAUAUUGGCGAAGGAAAAUUGAAGCUUACUAAAGGCUUAAUGGUGGUAGCAAGAGCACGACUUUGUUGUACGUUGUACCGGUCAAAUGCCAAGGUUUUGAAAGGUGAGUUAAAUGCUGUGGAGGACUCAUCUCUAGACUUAUGGCAUAAGAGGCUAGGCCACAUAAGCGAGAAAGGCCUACAAGUUUUGGCAAAGAAGUCUCACAUUCCCUUUGCCAAAGGUACGUCGUUAAACUCUUGUGAGCAUUGUUUAUUCGGAAAAACAAAGAAGAGUUAGUUUUUUCUGUUCCAUCUACAAAGAAAGGAAACUUGUUAGAUCUUGUUUAUUCAGAUGUGGUGUGGUCCCAUGGAAGUCGAGUCACUUGGAAGAAAUAAAUAUUUUGUUACUUAUAUUGAUGAUGUUUCACGAAGGGUGUGGGUGUAUUUGUUGAAAUCCAAAGACCAGGUGUUUCAGACAUUCCAGGAGUUCCAUGCCAUGGUGGAGAGGGAAACUGGGAAACCUCUCAAGUGCCUUCGUAGCGACAACGGCGGCGAAUACACAUCUCACCAGUUUAGAGAGUAUUGUGUAAAACAUGGCAUACGUCAUGAGAAGACAGUUUCCUGGAACUCCACAACAUAACGGUGUUGCUGAAAGAAUGAACCGAACCAUCAUGGAGAAAGUCAGGUGUAUGUUGAGGACUGCAAAGUUAUCUAAGCAGUUCUGGGGUGAAGCUGUAAGGACAGCCCUGCUAUUUGAUCAACCGAUCUCCAUCAGUACCAUUAGGUCUUGAUGUUCCAGAGAGAGUAUGGACUGGUAAUGAUGUGUCUUACUCUCAUCUGAAGGUGUUUGGUUGCAAAGCUUUUGUGCAUGUGCCCAAAGAGCAGAGAUCGAAAGUUAGACUACAAAGCUACACCGUGCAUCUUUCUUGGUUAUGGCGGUGAAGAUUUUGGUUACAGAUUAUGGGACCCAUACCAGAAGAAGUUUAUCCGAAGUAGAGACGUGGUCUUUUUAUGAAGAUCAAACAAAUUGGGGAUUCGGAUAAAGAGGCACAACCAGAUGGCGCAGUCAGAGGAGUUGAUCCAUUAGCUUCAGAUGAAGAAAGUCACGAUGACAUCCCCUGAAGCAACUGCCAAUGAAGUGCCUGCAGAAUCAGAUAAUGCUAAUCAAGAGGAGCCUGAUCAAGAAUGUGCCAGACCAUGAGAUUGCUGAUCAGGGGGAGCCUAGUCAAGAAGAGCAGAUUCAAGGAGAACCCAAUCAGGGGGAGCCUCCAGCCCUACAAGAGAAUGAAGAUCAGGUCAGAAAGAUCCAUCAGAAGUCGAAGACCGUCUACCAAGUAUUCUUCAUCAGAGUAUAUCAUGUUGACUAAUUAUGGAGAGCCCGAAACAUAUGAGGAGGCCAGAGCUCAUAACGACAGUGACAAAUGGAUGAAGGCAAUGGAGUCGGAGAUGGAUUCCUUAUCAAAGAAUGAUACCUAUGAGCUGGUGGAGCUUCCAAAGGGCAGGAAAGCAUUGAAAAACAAGUGGGUGUUCAAAUUGAAAAGAGACGACAACAUGACAAGGUACAAGGCUCGUUUGGUUGUCAAAGGUUUUGGUCAAAAGAAAGGAGUUGACUUUGAUGAGAUUUUCUCACCGGUGGUGAAGAUGACUUCCAUUCGAGUUAUCCUUGGUAUGGCAGCAAGCAUGGAUCUUGAGCUCGAGCAGUUAGAUGUUAAAACUGCAUUUUCUCCACGGCAAUUUAGAAGAGGAGAUAUACAUGGAGCAACCCAAAGGCUUUGAAGUCAAAGGUAAAGAAAAUUUUGGUGUGCAAGCUCAAAGAAAAGUUUAUAUGGUCUUAAGCAGGCUCCGAGACAGUGGAAUAAGAAGUUCAACUCAUUCAUGGUGAGUAAUGGGUACAAGAGAACUCAUGCUGACUCUUGUGUCUAUAUCAAACAAUUUUCUGGAGGUACAUUCAUCAUCUUAUUGCUUUAUGUUGAUGACAUGUUGAUUGUCGGACAAGAUGCUUCUAUGAUUAAAAAGCUCAAAGAAGAGUUAUCUAAGUCCUUUGACAUGAAGGACUUAGGGCCAGCCAAGCAGAUUUUGGGCAUGGAGAUAAUUCGUGACAGAAAAUCCAAGAAGUUGUGGCUGUCACAAGAAAAGUAUGUUGAACGGGUGCUUGAAAGGUUCAACAUGAAAGCAGCCAAACCGGUAAGCUCACCUUUAGCCAAUUAUAUCAAGUUGAGCAAAGAGUCGUGUCCAAAAACAUAUGAAGAAAAGGAGAAAAUGGCAGUUGUUCCCUACUCUUCAGCAGUAGGAAGUAUCAUGUAUGCAAUGGUGUGCACACGACCAGAUAUUGCUCAUGCAGUAGGUGUGGUGAGCAGGUUUCUCUCUAAUCCAGGGAAGGACCACUGGGAAGCCGUUAAGUGGAUUCUCAGAUAUUUGAAGGGGACUUCUAAGAUGUGCUUGUGCUUUGGCGGUUCCAAACCAAUCUUGGAAGGAUUUACAGAUGCUGACAUGGGAGGUGACCUGGAUGGUAGAAAAUCUACGUCUGGGUACUUGUUUACUUUUGCAGGGGGAGCCGUGUCUUGGCAAUCCAAGUUACAAAAGUGCAUUGCUUUGUCCACAACCGAGGCUGAAUACAUAGCCGCUACAGAAGCAUGCAAGGAGUUGUUGUGGCUGAAGCGGUUUCUCCAAGAGUUGGGUUUGAAGCAAAGUGAUUAUGGCGUUUAUUGUGAUAGUCAGAGUGCUCUGGAUUUGAGCAAGAACACUACAUAUCAUUCACGCACUAAGCACAUUGAUAUUCGUUAUCACUGGAUUAGAGACGCUAUCGAGAACAAGUUGCUACAGCUGAAGAAGAUUCAUACCGAUAAUAAUUCUUCAGACAUGUUGACAAAGGUAGUCACAAAAUCAAAGUUGGAAUUUUGCAUUAAGGCUGCUGGGAUGAACUCCAGGUAACUUGGAGUCAUGAUCGGAAUUCCUCCCUCAUGGACUGGAGGGGGAGAUUGUUGGUAUAUGGUCCAGCCCAUGAUCAAUGUUCUAGAUUUAUUCUAGUAAGCAAGAGAUGAGGCUGGAGCUUGCUAGACAAUUCUAGCAUGUUAUUAAGUUGAUGGAAGAAGCUAGAGAGUACUAGCUUCCUUGGUUGCAAAUGGAAAGAUCUAGAAGCUACAAGUAUGUGGCUAGUCUAGAUUUUUCUAUACUAGAGGUUUGAAGAAGGAACUAGAAACUAGUAGAAUGCCAAGCCCUCACCUAUAAAUAUGGGUGUGAUGUAACCAAUUGAGAACGAAGAGUGAGUAGCAAAGGAUCAAGUCCAAAGCUAGAGUUCCACUCCAAGAGUGAGAGUGAGAGUGUUCCACUACACAUUGUGUGAGUGAAGUUUAGAGUGAUAGAAAGUGUGUGUUAUACUUUCUUGUAUCCAUCAAGCCUUGUCUUUGGCUUGGUAAGACUACUCUUGUUGUAUUCAUCUUUUUCAUAUAGUGAAGAUUCCUUGUUUGGUGGACGUAGGCAUAAAUUGCCGAACCACAUAAAUUCUUGGCGUCCAUUUUCUACUUUACCUUGUGCAUUCUCUAUCUUGUAGUACCGACAUUCCUAACAGGUAACAGGAUAUUCCUUGCUUCUCAAGUUUUUAAUCUCUCAAUGAUCUUUGUGCGUUUAGACAAUUUUUCGUGCGCUGGACUGGACAAUCCAAUCCAAUCCUGUGCCCGAAAUGUGGCUUUAGUGACAGUCGCAGAACGAAGUGUGAUGCUAAAACUUAUUUUAUUUUGUGCAUGUUUUGUACAGGUAUGCUGGAUUCUACAAGGGAAUACAGAGUGCAGGGGCAGCAGUAGAUUGGCAAAUCGAUACGUGCAAGGCAUCCUUCCUCUCCCAAUUGGUUACGAAUUUCGCGCUUUACACCGUGAGUUAUCCGCUGCUGGUGGUUCUGAUCUUGCUGGCCGUGAAGGAUGAAGGUGAGGCUGAUGUGGAGGAAUUUACCAAGCGGAAGGUUGCUGAAUUAGCUGAUGAAAUUAGUCAUAAGCCAUCCGAAUAUUUGUCUUAAUUACGUCCAUACAAUCGAAUCUUCACGAAUUAGUGUAAGGGAAAUUCUAGUGUAAUUGAUGUAGCACGUUCAAAUUGUCAAGUAUUUUACGGGGUAAUCAGAGUUCAUGUUUUGAUAAAAUAUCUGAAUGAUUAGUUCUUGAUCACGAUUGUCCAUUAUAGUCAUGCAUGCUUGGAAGGAAAUGCUAGUGUAAUUGAUGUAGCACGCUCAAAUAAUCCUGCUGGCAUGAUAUCUCAAGCCUUAAGUAUCUACAAAAGCUUGGUUAACAAUCCUUCCACCCUUGGAUCAACUGGAGGCACGCACAGUGAUGAUGCUUCCUCAGAAGGAUCUGAUCACAGUUUUCGAAUGAUCGAGGAGGCAAAGAAUCAAGAUAAUGCAAACGAAUCAGGGUUUUCGCUUCAGAACCGCAAGAAAGAAGCAUAGAGUUUGACUUCUCUCAGUUGUUUGCCAAUUCAACCAGUUACUGGGUUCUUUCACACCAGACAUUUUUCUUGUAGGAUGCUUCGUUGUUGUUUUAGCCGGAAGGUAGAAUAUGAGUUGUGUGAUUAACUAAAAGGGUGUCUAAAUGUUUGCAAUGAUAUUAAUGACAGAUGCCAAAUCAUAUAAAGGAACUGAAAUUUUUUGGGUUGGAACUCAUUAUUUUGCAUGUUUUCCUUUGGGCCGUUGGGUUUCGGAGUCCACCCCCUCCUCCUCGUGUGUUUUUGCUGGUAGGUAAUUGGGUUGGGUUGUCUAAAUCCUAAUUUUUGGAUUUUUAUGACAUGUUAAAGGACUUGUAGAGUUUAAGAUUGAUUUGGAUAUGCUUUUAAAAUUACUGAAGUUGUUUCGUGAAAUUGGUUUUCUGUUACAAAAACACCUGACAUGUGUUUCUUGCGGGAAGCACCUAAAAUGUUUUUUCAAGAUCCACUUGGAUUUGCACUAAGAAUUGAUUUCAAAAAUAUUUUUACAAAAAAUAGUUUAAAUCAUUUCAAAAGCACUUUCAAAUGAGUCUUUAAUCACUCAAAGCAACACUUGAGUAGUUCUUGAGAGGGGCCUCGUGGGGGUCUGAGUGCCUCUUAGGGCAUCGAGAGGGCUCAAGCAUUUGUGUUUUAACUUUCGCGUACGUGGUCCUAGAUUUCGACUCGAUACUUGAUGUGUUUGUCGGAUAUUGUCGUAGAUUAGCAUCUACUUCCAGAAACAACGGUAGAAAAUGGUGUUUAACAUCACCAUCUGGCAUGUGCGUUUGCGUUUGAAGGUUAUGUCGGAGUGGGAUCAUCUCCGGGAUCCCAACUUGCAGAGCCAACUGACCAAACGAUCUCAACCUUUCAAUUUCAUCUUAUCUUGUUUUGCGUGAUUUUUUUUUUGGAUAUUUAAAUUGAUUCUGGACCACAGGAUAAAAAAUGGAAGGAUGAGAUCUUUUGGUUAGUUGACUCCGUAGGCUGUGAUCCGGAGGUGAUCUCAGUCUCGUUAUGUCAACAGCAAAUUAAGACUUUUCUGUGCCAUAUGCCAAACAAGUUCAAAACAACAAGCCACUCUCGCUUAACAAUUCCGCCUUUAGGUUUAGGAAAAAAAAUACAAUUAUUUGAUAGGUAAUGUUAGGGAGACAUUUGGUUUAAUUAAUUAUUGAAUCAUUUGAUGUUAUGAAGGGCAAGAGAUGAGGAUUAUACGUUGUUGACGUGAGUUUAAGUUAGUUACGAUAUUGUUUUCUUUUUACCCAACUUCGAGUCAUGCUCUUAAUAAUAAAGAAUACACCGCUUUUGUAAAGAGAUUUUUCAAUAUGUUGGGAACACAGUUUGAUACACUAAAUAUAAUUAUACAAUUAGUCAUAAACUUGAAGAUAAAAAAAUUAUUACAUUUGACGUACCGAAACAUGUUUCUGUCACACUGAAAAAUUUCUCGCUGUGUCUUUAUGUUAGUAGUACUCGUACCAUCUAGGUUGUUUUUGUCUUUCAUACUUUGUCUCUCUUUUCUUGCACCAUGAAUCAAGGACAGUGUGGCAUGGACAUAUAGAUUUUCCCACAUGGGAAUUAAAAAUACAAGAUUCCUUUCCACCAAUAUAGGAUUCUAACAAAUGAUACUGAUUCCCUGAAUUUAAAUAAAAUUCAAAUUGAAGUUAAAUAUAUUAUUUUUUAUGCAAAUUCAAAUCCCGUCCCGCCGGGAUUAAGGUUUUAUAAUCCGACCUUUCUCACACACCGGGCUGGUUUCUGAAAACCCAGAAAAUGCCUCGACUCCAGAAAUUGUCAUUUGCUAUGCACUUCGUCCAAUCCCAGGGUCCUUGUCCGAUUUGACCCUUGCAAUUAGUCCCGGACAAAUAUCAUCCCGAGCUAAAUCCAUCUGCUAAUCACGAUCACAUGUCAGUUCGGGUUAGUUUGGUAUUGUUGUGUUUUAAAAAAAAAAAAUUGUUUCUGUUGUGCUGUAAAAAUAAUUAGCUGUAAAAUAAAGCAGUUGAGUGUUUAAUAAACUUGUAUUGUAAAAGUGCUUUUUUGUAGCAGUGUUCAAGUAUUUGGUAAAUUUUUAUGUAAAUCUGCUGAGAUUAUGUUAAAUGACUAAAAAGAUGUAAUAUUAAAUGUGACAUAAUAAUUUAUUUUAUUUUUAUUUAUAAUUUCAUCUUCAAUCUUCAUCAUUUAUCUUGAUUUUGUUUUUUAUUUAUUUAUAAUUUCAGCUUCCAUCUCUCUCGUUUAUCUUUGUUUUAUAUUUAUUUAUAUUUUUAUCUUCCAUCUCCAUCUCAAAUGGAAUCGUGCAAUUAAAAUGGGACCAAAGUCAUCUUCUUCCUCGUGCCCGACUAUGCAGAAGAAAAAAAAAUCCGAUUUUGACGUCUUCAUGUACGCCCGCCUAGCCCGUUCCCGGACCCGCAUACCUCCGCCUAGUCCUUCUUAGUCUCGCCCAAGCAUUCUGCUUUUUGAUUUUGUGGUUGAUUCAGAAGGGGUAGAUUAUCCGACGAGACCAGAGGGGCACUUGGGCUUCAUUUUCGAAGAGGGGAGGGGUGCGCCACCCCUCUUAUCCUUCUGUAGCUUCGCCUAUGCUCUAGCCCCCUGGAUCGCAAGCAUUUUGUCCCUAUAAUAGUUCCCGUAAAGCAUAAAUCUUCAGAAGUUCAUCCUCCCCAAUAACAUAAUCGCCAGCGGCCUUGAAUUCCUUGCGAAGCCGGACUCGACUCGUCCUCUCGAACAAUCGGAUUCGAAGAUCUGAUACGAUAAAGGAAGCGAGAAGGAGAAACGAAGAGGGUAUGAUUGGGUUUAAGAAAGUUUCAUUAAACUUUACUAUUCAUCCACCUGCUUUGAAAAAAAGCAGGUUUUGAGAAGCAGUAAAAUGUUGCUUCCAUUUUUCUGCUUAUUUUGGCUAAAACUUUGAAAAGAAGCGCUUAUUUUUAUAUUUAUCAAACACAUUUUACACUCCAACUUUUAUUCAUAGCUGUUUUUUUAUAAUUUCAGCCGUGCCAAACUGGUACUUCAUCACACUCUUUAUCCGUAAUUUCAUUGCUUUCCACUCUCCACUCAAAUCCCGCUUUUAGUAAAUUAGUUUAGUUUAAAAUAUCGCUCGAACAAAAAACAAAGCCGAGUUCCCAAAGUCCUUUUGGCUUUGGCAUCCAUAAAGGAAGAACUUUAUAAUCAAAUUCUCAAAAAGUCGUCAAAUUUAUCAUCUGGGAUAAGGAUUAUAUGGGUAUCGAAGGAGUGGAAGAAUCGGGAGGCACGGGGGUGCCCCUAUCGAAAUUCAGGUACAACUCGCCGUUUGUUCAAGUGAGUCUCAUCGGAUUGGUCUGUUUCUGCUGCCCUGGCAUGUUCAACGCCCUCUCCGGCAUGGGCGGCGGAGGCCAGGUCGACCCGACUGCCUCCAACAACGCCUCCACUGCCCUCUUCACCACCUUCGCCAUCUUCGGCAUCCUCGGUGGCGGCAUCUACAACAUCCUCGGCCCCCGCCUUACACUCCUCUCCGCCUGCUCCACCUACGUCCUCUACGCCGGCUCAUUCCUCUACUACAACCACCACAAGCACCAGGCUUUCGCUAUUGUCGCCGGAGCAAUCCUCGGAAUCGGCGCCGGCAUCCUCUGGGCCGGCCAAGGUUCCAUCAUGACGUCGUACCCUCCCUCGAAUCGAAAGGGGACAUACAUCUCGAUUUUCUGGAGCAUUUACAAUAUGGGUGGCGUCAUCGGAGGACUAAUUCCGUUUGUUCUUAACUACCACCGGAGCCAAGCGGCUUCCGUCAACGAUGCAACUUACAUUGGGUUCAUGAUUUUCAUGUCCAUCGGGACUCUUUUAUCCCUCGCUAUCCUGCCCCCCAGCAAAAUUGUCCGGGAUGACGGGACUAAAUGUACGGACAUUCAGUACUCAAACGUCACAACUGAGGCCAUUGAGAUUGCCAAGCUGUUCACAAACUGGAAAAUGCUUCUUAUAAUCCCGGCUGCUUGGUCGAGCAUUUUUUUCUACACCUACCUAUUCAACAACGUCAAUAAAGUUAUGUUUAAUAUGAGGACUAGAGGAUUGAACAAUGUGUUCUACUGGGGAGCGGAGAUUUUCGGGUCCAUUGGGAUUGGAUACGUUAUGGAUUUCAGCUUCAAGAGCAGGAGGACUAGGGGUUUCGUGGGCAUUUCGGUUGUUGGUGUCCUCGGGACUGCAAUUUGGAUUGGCGGACUUGCCAACCAACUCAACUACUCUCGAAGCGAUUUGCCUGAGAAGUUGGAUUUUAAGGACUCCGGCUCUGCUUUCGCAGGACCGUUCGUGUUGUAUUUUAGUUUCGGGUUGCUUGAUGCCAUAUUCCAGAGAAUGGUUUUCUGGGUCAUUGGAGCCUUGGCUGAUAACUCUGAAAUUCUAAGCAGGUAAUAGAAUAUUCCUUGCUUCCCAAGUCUUUAACCUUUCAAUGAUCUUUGUGCGUUUGGGCAAUUUUUCGUGUGCAGGACUGGACAAUCCAAUCCAAUCCUGCGCACGAAAUGUGGACUUAGUGGCAUUCACAGAACAAUGUGUGAUUCUAAAAAUUUAUUUAAUUUUGUGCAUGUUUUGUACAGGUAUGUUGGAUUCUACAUGGGAAUACAGAGUGCAGGGUCAGCAGUAGCUUGGCAAGUCGAUGCGCACAAGGCAUCCUUCCUCUCCCAAUUGGUUACGAAUUUCACGCUUUACACCGUGAGUUAUCCGCUGCUGGUGGUUCUGAUCUUGCUGGCCGUGAAGGAUGAAGGUAAGGCUGAUGUGGAGGAAUUUACCAAGGGGAAGGUUGCUGAAUUUACCGAGGAGAAGUUGCUGAGCCUGCAGCCUCAGAGAAGUGAUCGUAAUGAUCGUCGGCUUAAUUAGCAGAUGAAAUUAGUCAUAAGCCAUCCAAAUGUUUGUCUUAAUUACGUCCAUACAAUCGAAUCUUCACGAAUUAUUGUAAUGGAAAUGCCAGUAUAAUUGAUGUAGCACGUUCAAAUUGUCAAAAAAUUUACAGAGUAAUCAAAGUUCAUGUUUUGAUAAAAUGUCUGAAUGACUAGUUCUUGACCACGAUUGUCCAUUAUAUUCAUGGAUGCUUGGAAGGAAUACUGAGAGAGUCUUCUACUCAUCGAGGAACCUUCAUGUCAAACCCUAGCUAGUGAUAGAGCCAGAUGAUAUUUGACGUGAUUUUCCUAUGAUCUCUCGAGCCUUGAGUAUUUACAAAUGCUUGGUUAACAAUCCUUCCACCCUUGGACCAACUGGAGGCACGCACAGUGAUGAUGCUUCCUCAGAAGGAUCUCAUCAUGGUGUUUGAAUGAUCGAGGAAACAACUAAGCAAGAUAAUGCAAAGGAAUCAUGGUUUUUGCUUCAGAACCGCAAGAAAGGAGCAUAGAGUUUGAUAUCUCAUAGUUGUUUGCCAAUUCAAUCAGUUAUUGGGUUCUUUCGCACCAGACAUUUUUCAUCGGAGGAUGCUUUCGUUGUUGUUUUAGCCAGAAGGUAAGACGCGUCCACUCAAUAUGAGCAAUAGAUCAGGUUUCCUUUGCCCGUUGGAUUUCGGAGGCCACCCUACUCGUAGUGUGUAUUUGCUGGUAUGUGAUUGAGUUGGGCUGUCUAAAUCCUAAUUAGUGUUUUUUAUGACAUGUUAAAAGCCUUCUGGAGUUUUAACCACUCGAGCAAGGCUCGAGCAGUCCUUGUGAGGCCUCGGUGGGGGUCCAAGUACCGCUUGAAGGGGCCUCGACAGGACUCGAGCAUUGCUCUAGAUUAUCUUGACGGGUUUUCGUCAUAUUGUUAAACGUCUUUUAGUAAGGAAGCGUCGUAAUCGUGGAGCAAUAAUGUGUUUGACUUUCGGAUACAUGGUCCGAGAUUUCGAUUUGAUACUUGAUGUGUUCGUUGGAUCUUGUUGCAGAUUAGGAUCUACUUCCAAAAACUACAGUAGAAAAUGGUGUAGAGCCAAAGUCUAUAAUCUUGAAACGUAGGUCAUCCCUUUAUCCUUUCCACAACCCUAUUGCUGGUGGUCCGUUCUUGGACCACCAUAAGUACCGAUGAAAAGUCAAUCACGUCUUGUUAAAAUUUUCACAAUUGAUUUGGAAUAUUAAUAUAGUGAUAUUCUCGGCAUAUGUAACGUUUAAGUCAUCAUGAUAUUGUGUCUGUAUCUUAAGUCAGUCGCACAACAGUAAUAAUUGAACUCUGAACAAGAUUAUAAAAGUUGCUUGAGUAAUGAACUUAUUAAACAAAAACUCAUUCAUUUAGGAGACCGAGUUUACAAUUGUCGAAUGUUUUUUUUUUUUCCACAAACCAACAAAAACAAUAUCUUCCUCUCAAGAACGCUCGAUAACUCCCUAUUGAAAUGAGUUUUUAAUCCUUUUAUUUUCUUUAAAAUGAGACUAAUUAGUGGUUUCGUCAUGACAAUUUACUUUUUAUAGACCGAAAAAAUCCGCAGAAUAUAUUGAAAUGAGUUUUUGGUCGAUCAGGAAUUGCAGCCGCCCGACUUGCCGUUUAAUGAGCUAAUAAUGCCAAAAUGCUUUAACGUCACUUGGUGCGCUUGCGUUUGAAGAGUUUGUCGAUGUCAACAGCAAACUUAGACUUUUCUGUGAAGUAUGCCAAACAAGUUGAAAACAACAUAUAGCCACUCUUAAUUUACAAUUUCUCCCUCACGCUUGGGAAGGAAAAUACAAUUACUUGAUUAUCUGCGCCUGCAUAAUCAUAUUAGACAAACCAAGUUUAAUUAGUUACUGAAUUAUUUGAUGUUACGGAAAACAGAAGAUUAUACGUUGCAGACAUGAGCUUAAGUUGGUUAACAUAUUGUUUCCGUUUUUUACCCAACUUCAAGUCAUGCUCUUAAUAAUAAACAAUACAUCGUUAUUAUGAGGAGAUUUUUCAGUUGUCGGAAACACGACCUGAUACACUAAUAAAAUAAAAUUGUACCUAAUAUUUUAUCCGUACGUCUUUAUUUCUUUAAAUCUCAUACCAUCGAAGUUGUUUUCGAUCUUCACACUUUAUCUCUCUUUUCUUGGACCCUGAAUCAAGGACGGUUUGGCAUGGACAUAUACUCAUAUGCCCAUUCCAACUUGGGAAUUGAAAUACAAGAUUCCCUUCCACCCCUAAUCUAACGAAUGAUUAAAAAUUUGAAACUGUGAUUUUUUUAUGCAUAUUCAUAUCCCAUCCCGUCAGGAUUAGGGAUUUAUAAUCUGACUUUUCUCAGCAUCAUUCUCACACGCCCCGCUGGACUCUGAAAACCCAGACAAAGCCUGGACUCCAUAAAUUGUCAUUUGCUAUGCAUUCUUUGUCCAAUCCAAGGGUCCUUGUCCGUUUUGACCCUUGCAAUUGGUCCCGGACUAUAUCGUCCCGAGCUAAAUCCUUCUGCUAAUCACAACCACAUAAGUUCAUCCUUUCGAUUCUCCACCAAAUCCCCGUAAAUUAGAUUAGUUUAGAAUAUCGCUCGAUAAAAAGUUCGGAUCCCAGUUCCAUUUGGCAUUCAAAGGGAGGAACUUUGUGAUUAAAAUCACACAGAAGUCGUAAAAUUUAUCACCUGGGAUUCGAUGGUUUCCGAAGGAGUGGAAGAAUCGGGAGGCACGGAGGUGCCCCAGUCGAAAUUCAGGUACAACUCGCCGUUUGUCCAAGUGAGUUUGAUCGGAUUGGUCUGUUUCUGCUGCCCUGGCAUGUUCAUGGCCCUCUCUGGCAUGGGCGGCGGAGGCCAGGUCGACCCGACUGCCUCCAACAACGCCUCCACCGCCCUCUAUACCACCUUCGCCGUCUUCGGAAUUCUCGGCGGCGGCAUCUACAACAUCCUCGGCCCCCGCCUCACUCUCCUCUCCGCCUGCCCCACCUACGUCCUCUACGCCGGCUCAUUCCUCUACUACAACCACCACAAGCACCAGGCUUUCGCUAUUGUCGCCGGAGUAAUCCUCGGAAUCGGCGCCGGCCUCCUCUGGGCAGGCCAAGGCGCCAUCAUGACGUCAUACCCUCCCCCGAACCGAAAGGGGACAUACAUCUCGAUUUUCUGGAGCAUUUUCAACAUGGGUGGCGUCAUCGGUGGACUAAUUCCCUUCGUUCUUAAUUACCACCGGAGCGAAGCGGCUUCCGUCAACGAUGCAACUUACAUUGGGAUAAUGAUUUUCAUGUCCAUCGGGACUCUUUUAUCCCUCUCUAUCCUGCCCGCCAGCAAAGUUGUCCGGGACGACGGGACUAAAUGUACGGACAUUCAGUACUCAAAUGUCACAACUGAGGCCAUUGAGAUUGCCAAGCUGUUUACGAAUUGGAAAAUGCUUCUUAUAAUCCCGGCUGCUUGGUCGGGCAAUUUUUUCUACACCUACCAGUUCAACAACGUCAACCAAAUUAUGUUUAAUCUGAGGACGAGAGGAUUGAACAAUGUGUUCUACUGGGGAGCGCAGAUGUUGGGGUCCAUCGGGAUUGGAUACGUUAUGGAUUUCAGCUUCAAGAGCAGGAGGACGAGGGGUUUCGCUGGCAUUUCAGUAGUUGGUGUUCUCGGGACUACAAUUUGGAUUGGCGGACUUGUCAACCAGCUCAACUACUCUCGCAGUGAUUUGCCUGAGAAGUUGGAUUUUAAGGACUCCGGCUCUGCUUUCGCAGGACCCUUCGUGUUGUAUUUUAGUUUCGGACUGCUUGAUGCCAUGUUCCAGAGCAUGAUUUACUGGGUCAUUGGAGCCUUGGCUGAUAACUCUGAAAUUCU
rnacentral:lncRNA from 1 species